rnacentral:lncRNA from 1 species
UUUAAAUAUAUUAAUUAGAUUAAUUAAUAAUUUACUGCCAUUAAAAUUAAAUUUAGAUUUUAAUUAAUCUUGUUCUCAUCAAGGAACAAGCUUGUUCCAGGAAACGGGUGGAACAGCAGUUCCAGCCUUAUACCAGCUAGUUACAGAUUCCCGGAAACUACUGUUUCCGGAAACCAAAAUUGCGUUUGGGAACAAAGGGGGGAACAAGGGCUUAUUCCCCCCUUGUUCCCGAACCAAACACUACCUAAAUUAUACUUUUGUAAAAAGAAAAUAUUAUAAUUAAUAAUAGGAAGUUUGAAUUAAGAAGUAAAUUUAUAUGUCUGCUUACUAUUUCAACAACAAAAAUAAAAGCUUUUUAUUGUCAAGUUAAUUUUAGUAUUUCACACCGACCGUCCCUAGAGCAAGUGCCAAAGGGCUUGGUAGUUGGUAUCUGAGACCCAAAUUCGAAUCCUAGUUGAUUCACAUUUUCAGCUAAGUUUAUUUUUAAAUGAAAUAAACAAAACGAGUAGCGUGCUAUCUAUCUCUCAAAAAAAAAAUUUAGUAUUUCACGCACCAAACAACAAAAAUUUACCAAUACAAUUUUCUGUAAAUAUAAAAAUUUGUAGCUUUUAACACUCUCCAGUCUCAACUACACUUCUUCGUCAAACAGAACGGACCGGUCUUAAUUGUAUUUUUUUUUCUUUUGAGAGAUUGGUAGCACGCUAUUUACUUCGUUUAUUUUAUUUAGAAAUAAAUUUAGCUAAAAAUGCGAAUCAUUUAGAAUUCGAACUUGAAAUUUCGGGUCUUAAUUAUCAAAUUCUUUGCCAUUUGUUCUAGGGACGGUCGGUACCGGUCUUAACUGUAGUGGCUCGUUGUUGCUUGAUUAAUUCUCUGUAACUGAAUCUUAUCUGUUUCUACAUUCAACUACUUAAUUAGCUCUUAAAAUAAUGGAUUUAAAUUAACAGUGUUCGGUCCCUAGCACAAAACAUGAUUAUAUAUGGUCGGCACUUAAGAUUCUACGUUUGAAAGUUAGUUACUUGCAGUUUUCGGCCAUGUUCGUAUCAUGCUGUCCUAUUUAAUAAUAUGUAAUCUUUUUUCAAAAGCAACUCUGUUCAAACUAAUAAACUGCACUUGUGCGGUGGUGGUGGUGGUGGUGUGUUUUGCAACAACCAACCAACCAAACAAACAAACAAACAAACAGAUCACGACGUUCACGUGCGGCGGCUUCGUGAUGGGGCUGCGCUUCAACCACG